rnacentral:lncRNA from 1 species
CAGGAAAGGGCUUUCUUAAUUUAGUGCGNCAACGUAUUAUUAUGAAACUUCUACAUUUAAGUAACAUUGGCAUGAACUACUAGCAUAUGGCUUUUGCAAUUAGAGAUGAACCUAUGAUUAACAAUUUGAUCUGACAGAAUGUUUUUUAGAUUAGCUUCUGACUGGUCUCAGGUGCAGUAUCGCAGAACAUUGUCCUUGGAUUGCAGAACACAGUCCUUAAACCCCUGGGUGAUACCCUGGUGUCAGCUUUGAAAAAGCAAAGCUAAAAGAACAAGACUGAACAUAAAGCUAUUAAACAUAUUACAGGUCAGUUGGGCUCUCCUGUAUUUAUUGACAACACUUCCU